rnacentral:rRNA from 1 species
AAUGAACGCUGGCGGCAGGCCUAGCACAUGCAAGUCGAACGGAUCCUUCGGGAUUAGUGGCGGACGGGUGAGUAACGCGUGGGAACAUACCCUUUGGUACGGAAUAGCCUCGGGAAACUGGGAGUAAUACCGUAUGUGGUCGAGAGACGAAAGAUUUAUCGCCAAAGGAUUGGCCCGCGUUGGAUUAGGUAGUUGGUGGGGUAAUGGCCUACCAAGCCGACGAUCCAUAGCUGGUUUGAGAGGAUGAUCAGCCACACUGGGACUGAGACACGGCCCAGACUCCUGCGGGAGGCAGCAGUGGGGAAUCUUAGACAAUGGGGGAAACCCUGAUCUAGCCAUGCCGCGUGAUCGAUGAAGGCCUUAGGGUUGUAAAGAUCUUUCAGGUGGGAAGAUAAUGACUGUACCACCAGAAGAAGCCCCGGCUAACUCCGUGCCAGCAGCCGCGGUAA